UACAGAGGUCCCAAGCGUUGUUCGGAUUCAUUGGGCGUAAAGGGUGCGUAGGUGGUGCCGUAAGUCAGGUGUGAAAUCUCGGGCUCAACCCCGAAACUGCACUUGAUACUGCGGUGCUCGAGGACUGGAGAGGAGAUUGGAAUUCAUGGUGUAGCAGUGAAAUGCGUAGAUAUCAUGAGGAAGACCAGUGGCGAAGGCGGAUCUCUGGACAGUUCCUGACACUGAGGCACGAAGGCCAGGGAGCAAACGGG
rnacentral:rRNA from 1 species